CCUAGGGGCAACCCGAGACCGGAAUGCGAGGGAUGCGGGGCAACCCAAAACCCGAGUUCUCUGGAGUCGACAGGCGAGAAAAGCUGAUGGCGGAGUUUAUAGAUGUCCGUACCGGAAACCGACACAGGUGGGUGAGGCGAGCAGCCUCAGGUGAACGAGUGAAACGUGGUCAAGGAACUCGGCAUAAUGAUCCCGUAACUUCGGAAGAAGGGAUGCCAGAGAGGGUGUAGGGUACACCGAAGCUCUCCCUGGUCGCAGCGAAUCGGCCCAAGCGACUGUUUAGCAAAAACACAGGUGUGUGCCAAGCCGCACAAGGCGCCGUAUACACACUGACGCCUGCCCGGUGCCGGAAGGUUAAGGGGAGAGGUUAGCCGCAAGGCGAAGCUUUGAGCCGAAGCCCCGGUAAACGGCGGCCGUAACAAUAACGGUCCUAAGGUAGCGAAAUUCCUUGUCGGGUAAGUUCCGACCUGCACGAAUGGCGUAACGACUUGGGCACUGUCUCGACCACGUGCUCGGCGAAAUGGCAGUCUCGGUGAGGAUUCCGAGUCCCCGCGACAGGACAAAAAGACCCCAUGCACCUUUACUGUAGCUUGUCAUUGGUCGUUGCACAUCGCUGUGUAGCAUAGGUGUGAGGCGUUGAUCCGUGGGCGCUAGCUUACGGGGAGCCAUCAGUGAAAUACCACCCUGCGUCGUGCGACGCCCUCACCACGGCGGGAACACCCCGUCUGGGACCGUGGCAGGUGGGCAGUUUGACUGGGGCGGUCGCCUCCGAAACAGUAACGGAGGCGCGCGCAAGGUUGGCUCAGCGCGGACGGUACUCGCGCUUCUAGAGUGUAACGGCAGAAGCCAGCCUGACGGUGAGAUCGACGGAUCGAGCCGCCACGAAAGUGGGCCGUAGUGAUCCGGUAGCCCGGGGUGGAGCGGCUAUCGCGCAACGGAUAAAAGGUACGCUGGGGAUAACAGGCUUAUCGCGCCCGAGAGUUCACAUCGACGGCGCGGUUUGGCACCUCGAUGUCGGCUUAUCACAUCCUGGGGCUGGAGAAGGUCCCAAGGGUCCGGCUGUUCGCCGGUUAAAGUGGUACAUGAGCUGGGUUCAGAACGUCGUGAGACAGUUCGGUCUGUAUCCGUCGUGGGCGUUGGAGAGUUGAGGGGAGCGGACUCUAGUACGAGAGGACCGAGUCGGACGACCCGCUCGUGUCCCGGUUGUCCUGCCAAGGGCACCGCCGGGUAGCGAUGGUCGGCUGUGAUAACCGCUGAAAGCAUCUAAGUGGGAAGCACGCCCCAAGAUGAACUCUCCCGAGGCCUUGAGCCUCUUGAAGGGCCGGGGAAGACCACCCCGUCGAUAGGCCGCCCGUGGACGUCCCGCAAGGGAUUCCAAGCGCAGCGGUCCUAAUCGCCCGUAUGGCUUGACUAC
rnacentral:rRNA from 1 species